AUCUAUGAAGGCAUCCCAGAGAAGGGUUAACAGUGAGGGAAGACCUUCCUCCAGAGCCAGCAGCAACCCAGCUAUAAAGAGGCUGGGAAAGCCGCCCUGUUUGCUUCCCUGCCUUGGCUUCCUCUGCUGCUGUUCUAACAUGAGAACACAGUCUCCUCUCCUUUCCGCGGGGACUGAAGACCAGAGCAUCGCUGAGCAUCGUCCAGGCCUUCAGCCUACACGGAGACUGCUGCAGCAUUCCGAUUCCUAGCCUCAGCAGCCCCCAGGUUCUCAGCCCCUCCACCAUGCAGCUGGCCACUCUUGGACCACCCAGCCCCAAGCUGCUGUCAGCAACCCUAGGAUUGAAGCCCUACCCUCCAGUGCUUCCAAAUGUAACCCCUCUCUGGAAGCAGCCAUUGCAAAUGCCUGCGGUGUGACUGCUAUCCAUGACGAGGGUCAUCCCACAGGAUGUGUCAUUAUGAAAAGAGGGAAUUGGAGGCUGUCGUGGAUGGCUCGGAACGGAAAUGAAGCUAGGAUCGGGACUGUGUCUGCUUUGCCGGCACCGGACCAGCACGCAGCUAUAGGGAGAGUGAAGCCAUCGCGUCGUCAGCGUAUAAGCAAGGUGCAGCACACCAAACUCAGUCCACAUCCGUUUAGCUUUUCCCACCACAUCCCAGCGCUGUGUGGACCCACAAGUCUUCCCCAAUUUCUCCCAUCUCAAAGGAUUUUCAGCGGCAUCAAGAGCCUGACACUUUGCCCGUCCUCGUCCUCGUUCUCACAGAUGUCUCCAGAGUAAGACAAAGCCAUGUUGGCACCAAGGAGGGCCGGCAAUAAAGGGGGACUGAGAGAGAAGAAAGCCCCGGGACAAUCUGGCUGGGCCCAGUAGAUUCAGUUGCUGCAGCAACAGAAAGUCAAACAAUGAAGAGGGGAGGGACAGCCAUUUUCUUCACUCUGUCCAGUUGUCAUGGAUACUGAGAUUUUAAAACUAAAGGGGUAAAGGGGCUUCCUUCAUGCUCUAAAAAAACGGUGUCUUUUCAUUCGCUUGGCCCGCAUCCUUGCUCUGGGUUAGGGACCUUCCAUCCAGAGUCUUAUUGGAAUCAGACAAUCAACUGGGGGUGUUUCCUAUAUAGAUGACCUCCUAGGCACCAGCCCCCAAACUGGUUUUAUGUAAAGCUAGGCAUAUAGACCCAGACACUCGGGGAGAUUUCCAUCCCUACUUAAUCCCUACUCGAAGACCCUGAAGUUACUUCUUCCAAUAUUUCUCAAGACCAACACAGCUCAGCUCCAUCUGUGCCUAUCUCCCGGCCUCCUUAUCCUAACAAACAUUGGCAGCAGUGUCUUGCUAAGCUGGGAAGGCUGGUAUGGUGAGGAGGUCACCGGCUUUGGUCAAGACUCAUAUCUGCCACUCCCCAGAAUGACCUUGAACAAGGUACUUGAUGGUUCUGAAUCUUAUCAGGUCAGGUAAAUGUAAAUUAUGAUCUCUGCUGUGUGGCACUGCAGAUGCCAAUGCUAAGUUAUGUAAUACUAAGGAGGUGCCUGCCAUCCCUUAGUACUUAGUCUAUACCCAACACUACAAAAGUAAGAAGCCUUUGACCUACCCACUUACACAUACCCAUACGCUCACACUGAGAUGCACACACUUACACAAUCAGAAAGAUCAGUGGUUCGAGACCUUCCUAAUGCUGUGACCCUUUGAUACAGUUCCUCGUAUUGUGGUGAUCCCCAACCAUAAAAUUUAUUUGGUCACUACUUCAUACCUGUAACUUUGCUACUGUUACAAACUGUAAUGUUGCAGGUUAUCUGAUUAUUUGACCCCUGCUGAGGUCAUGACCCACAGGUUGAGAACCACUGAAAUAGAAGCUAGAUGAUAGAAAGAAACAUAGAUACAUAGACAGAUAAUUGCUAGACAGACAGACAGAUGAUACACCCACACAGAGGCUCAUAUAAACACUCUCAUUCUUACACACUUAUUUUCACACACACAGUUUCCAUUUGUGAAAUUUUUUUUAAAAAUGGGGGAGAGCUUGCUUAUUUUAGUCAUUUUCUAGCAAUAGAGAGUGCAGCUUGCCCAAAACAAGCAAUUCUAUCUGCCCACCCAUCCAUUCAACAAACUGAGUUUGCAAUGAAUGUCAAAUGCUAAAGUCAUAAAAGGACAAUGGGCAGAGUUACCAGCCACUGCUUCCCAUUUGCCUGAUGAUGGGACAUUCCAGCCUCACUCUGCUUCUAGGAACUCAGUAUGGCCCUGUGACCUCAGCUCUCUUGGCCUCUGUAUAUUUUUAUUUCCCAACACUUGGCAAAUCCACGAAACUCCAUCUGUGCAUGACUGCUUGGACGACGAGGGUAAGGAUGGCUCACACGGUGCUGUGGUCAGUGGAGUUGAGCUGGAAGCAUUCCCUCUUUGCUAGACUCUGGUAGGUCACAUUGACACCAGUAUCUCACAGCACUCAGAAAUAAACACUUAUAAAUUUUAUAGGUGAUAAUCUGCCCUGUGGGACUGACUGCUUCUUCCAGCUUGAGUUCCACAGGAUCUUCAGCAUGGCCUUGUCCUGGGGCUGCAUGGGGCCAGCAGCUCCUUUCUUCACCCUCAAGUUGGGAGCCACUUCCAGCAGGUGCCUGAGGGGAGCAGAGGAUCCAGGUAUAUGUGUCUAGUUCAGGUCUGAGAUUAUCAGUCAUUUCAUAGUAGCUUCUUAGCCAGGCUUCUGUUUAACACUGAGAGGCAAGGCUUGGCUAUGGCUCUACUACUUGUUAAAUAUGUAACUUGGAAGAAACGAAUUUUGCUAUUACACUGUCUCAGCUGAUGAUAGGUUUGUAUCUGCUAAACCCAGAACAUGCACAAAAGAUCAUAAGUCAAACAUGUAAUAUACCUAACCUACUGAAUAUCAAGACUUAGGCCAGCCUACCCAUUACACAUGUUCAGAACACACACAUUAGGUUUUGGUAGGCAAAACUAUCUAACAGAAGACCUACUUAUAAGGAAGGAUUGAGUAACUCAUGUGCUUUACUGAAAGUGAAAAACUGAAUGGUUAUAUGGUAUACUUUCAUUCCAUUAUAAAGCUGAAAAUCAUUAAGUUAAACCAUCAAAGCCAGGAACUAUAUUCACUGUUUCUUCAUCCUCAAAGUGUAAAUAGUAACCCUCAUGGGAUUGAUGGGAAGCACUUUCCUAACAAAUAUUAAAGAUUAAUGGCAGCUGUAUAUACUUUUAUUGCAAUUACUCCUAUCAAAUCCACUGUGAUGCUACAUAAAAAUAAUGCAUCUGCGUAUUAAAAGGAACUGAACCGAAUGACAGAAAAGUAAAAGCUAUUGACUUGUCCAAAGUAGUGGGGUUGGCUGCUCUGACUUUUAUCCCACUGUAGUAGUAUUUCCAAAUCAAAAUUCAAAAAUUAAAAGGGAGAAUCAGAGACUGAUUUACAAAAACUACAUGAACAGAAAGAAAGUUUAAUGGAUUGCUCUCCUAUCUGUCUCCCACACAGGAUUCAUUUCUCCUAAUGGAACAAAUGGAGUUCCAGGAGGGAAGAGAUGAUCCUAGACUAGACCUCAGACAUCAGAAGCAACCCACACUCUCAGGUCAACAGAAUUAAUUCUGUAACAACAGACAGUUGAUUCAUAGCACGUCCUCCCCUGAAACCCUCACUCUGCCCCAGAUGGAGCGUGCUAGGGUGGCCGUGGAGUAUAACGCCUAUCUGAGUGCAUGAAAAGAUGAACACCAGGACCGUCCUGAAGCGUGUGGCCCUUGCUUGAAAGGAGAAAGUGAAAUAUAGGCUGCGAUUCAAUUCUCAGCUGGAGAGAGUAAUCAAGCUGUCCUUGUAAGGAGGCCAGAUGAAGACCGCACA